CCCUCAUUUUCUCUUUUAGUCUAACAGGCAACCCGCUAAGUUGAACCUUCUCACCUGCCAGGUGAAACCCAAUGCCGAGGACAAGAAGUCUUUUGACCUGAUAUCACAUAACAGGACGUAUCACUUUCAGGCAGAAGAUGAGCAGGAUUAUGUAGCAUGGAUAUCAGUAUUGACAAAUAGCAAAGAAGAGGCCCUCACUAUGGCCUUCCGUGGAGAGCAGAGCACAGGGGAGAACAGUCUGGAAGACCUGACAAAAGCCAUCAUUGAGGACGUCCAGCGGCUCCCUGGGAAUGACGUCUGUUGCGAUUGUGGCUCGUCAGAACCCACCUGGCUUUCAACCAACUUGGGUAUUUUGACCUGUAUAGAAUGUUCCGGCAUUCAUAGGGAAAUGGGGGUUCACAUUUCUCGCAUUCAGUCUUUGGAACUAGACAAAUUAGGAACUUCUGAACUCUUGCUGGCCAAGAAUGUAGGAAACAAUAGUUUUAAUGAUAUUAUGGAAGCAAAUUUACCCAGCCCCUCGACAAAACCCACCCCUUCAAGUGAUAUGU